rnacentral:lncRNA from 1 species
AAUUAUAUUGCCAAAAAAAAAAAAAAAUGAGGAAUUGCAAUCGAUCUUAUUAAUUACAUUUAUGUCAUAUUUAAUAAGGGAAAAUUAGACAAGACUUGACAGCACUAAAGGAAAAAUAUUUAUCGAGUCUUAUACAUUAUUUCACAUCAAAUGUAAAUUGUACCAUAUUUAUUAAGCCUCUAUUUGGAAGCGCUUUUUUUCACAAAUAAUUGAUUUUUGGACAGUUGAAAUGGGCUCCAUUUCUUGCACACCUCAAACACCCACAGCAAUUGACAAGCCAAUUGUUAUUGCACUUUGCUAAAUGUCAUUUUUGUCCUUCAUUGCUGAGCAAGUGUAAAAUCAUUGAGGAGCAAUCAUAUUAUUAUAAAUAGAAAUGUAACAUAAGUAAAAUGCACUCCUACUCUACUAUCCCUAGUCAAAUGGUCACUGCAUUGGGUUAAUUAUUUGAUUACGAAAAUUCUGAUCAAUCUAUCAAAAUCUAAAUAUGUGUUUAAUUGCAUUUACUUUCCAUGAAAAAUAUCAUUUUUUCACCCAAAUCCUUACGUUGAAGUGUUUGAUUGCUAUUUUUUUUCAUUAAAAAUAUUUUCCAACUUUUGAAAAUAUGUCUAAUUUGUUUUGUUUUUAAGAAAAAUAUUUCCUUUGGGAGGAGUAUGUUUUUAUUUUCCUUAAAACAAGGAAAACAUUUUCUUUUCUAGAUGAUAUUUUUCAUGUCAAUCAAAUACACUAUAAUAUAAUUAGGAUUAAAAGCGCCCCCCCACUGAAGAUACCAUAUGUUCUAUAAACAAAAAGGACAUAUUAGUGUAAAGUACUAUAUAUUUCACUCUACCAAACAUGAUUAAAUUAAAGAGAUUCAGAGAACAGAUUAUUCAGUUGAUAGCCCCCCAGGGCACAUCCAAGUUGGCGGAACAAUCACAUUGGGGGGCUCUGGAACCAAGUGUGGGGAGUUCGAUUCCUGGUUGGAGCAGCCAAGUGAUGUAAUAACCAGAGGAAGGGUUGGAGCAGCUUGGUGAUGUAAUAACCAUGGAGGAGGGUCCCUUUGGGGAAGGAGUAAAAGCCAUUUUUUUUCUAGAUGAUAUUUUUCAUGUCAAUCAAAUACACUAUAAUAUAAUUAGGAUUAAAAGCGCUCCCCCACUGAAGAUACCAUAUGUUCUAUAAACAAAAAGGACAUAUUAGUGUAAAGUACUAUAUAUUUCACUCUACCAAACAUGAUUAAAUUAAAGAGAUUCAGAGAACAGAUUAUUCAGUUGAUAUGUAGGGAGAUGGAGAGAGGCCAAUAUCAGCAGGUUCUCAAGUGAUACAUUAACUUCCUUUGAUAAAAUCAAAAUAACCACCCUUUAGACCCCCCGAGACAUAUCCUAGUGGUGCAAAAGAUAAGGGUGAGGUAUACUCAAUUUUACUGACAGCUACAGUGUGAGGGUUCGAUUCCUGAAAUAUGGAUUGUGACUCUUUGUGAGCACAAGUGUACAGACAGCUCUUGUUCCUUGGCAUGUUGGGGCACAUCCCGUGAUUAUCCUCUCUCACGAUACUUCAGGGACAGGGCGGUGGGGAACCCUUAAAGUUAGGGUUCAACCUUCAUUUUUUUUUAUUUAUUUUUUUUUAAAUUUAAAUAACCACCCUUUAGCGUUAAUGUGCUCUUCACCAAACCCGAUAUGUCAGCAGGUUCCCAAGUGAUACAUUAACUGCAACCUGUUGCAUUUCAAAAUAACAGUGAAUUUCAAUUUAUGGGGUUUCUCCAAAUAUCAAGAUAUCGUCUACAAUUUGAUUAAAACCAUACGAGUCGACUGCUUGAAACUGUGGCAGCUAAACAACUCUCACUCUGUCUUCAAUAAAUUCAUUGCACUUUUCAAUCACUAGAGAAUGAAUACCAGGUGACGGGGUGAAAUUCAUAUUUACCCCUUGUUUCAUCGUCAUUAUUUUUUGAAGUACAUUUUUUUUUUCAACCACAUAUUUUUCAAUAAAAUAAUAUUAUACACAAUCCCAAAUCCAUUCUUUAUUUUUUAACUACACAUUCUUCUAUCAAUUUAUUAUUCCAAAAUGCAUUCUUAAAUUAAAAAUGGAGCUCAAACAUGCACUUAAUAAUAUCAUCAUGACAAACCAAAUUGAUUUUGAUUCANAAUUUGGGUGGAACUGAUAUUUUUCAUGGAAAAUAAGUUUUUUAUUUUCGUUUCUGAGUCUCAUCCUUUUUUAUGUUGUGGUAAUAAUUAUUUGUGAAUUUUGUAGUGUAAGUGUCUUUUUAUGUUAUUAUAAUAAUUUGGUCGGCUUGACUAAAACUUUUGGAGGGAUCAACCCUCUAGUUAUAACCUUGUUCGGAGUCGAACAAAGAAGAAAAUUACGACUCUCACUAAAAAAUAAGACUUGCACUUCGGCCCCUAAUCAAGAGUGGCAACACUUGACCACUCCACCAAGCCUGGUGCUCAACAUCAACGUUUUGAUGUGUAUUCCUUAUAUACUCUGAAAUAUGAAAUACAGAUCUACUUUUCGUUCGACUCAAAGACAACCAAACGCGAUACAUGUCACCUACAUUGGGGGCAAUGUUCAACUUUCUUGGUGAACCGGAAGGUUUCUGUCUAAAGCCAAAUAGUAGUUUUGCAAACCUAUGAGGAUUAUACACCUAAAAAAUGAAAGGUGAAUUUCCUCGACGAUAAGAAACAAAUUCAGAUUGAAUAUUCAUCAUAGAUUCUGAAGUAUCUGCAGAUGUUGGUUGGUCAUCCACAUGUACAUCAGGAUGAGACGAUGAGGGUAAGGGAUUCCAGCAAAAGUCAUUGGUGUCUAUCAUCCACGGAUAAAAUCCUGACAAUCAACAACAUUUUUCUCCCAAGAUUGGAAAGCAUUCAGAGUGCCAACAUAUCUUUGAAUUAUAGGGCGAUAAUAACUCUUGUCUACAUGAGCAUAAAUACCUUGAACAAAAUAAGUUGCCGCCCAAGUAUAAAGAAAAUUUCCAGGAAAUGAAUGUAAAAUUGAGCCAAGGUCCGGGUUUGUCUGAUAGUUAGACAUUCAUGUAAGUCCUCUAUAAAUGUCCGCUAAUAUGGGUGGAAUCAAGCUAUAAGUGUACCCGCUUGUCAUUCUAGAGGAUGCUUUGAUAGUCCCAACUCUGAUACAUUCGUCUUCAAAUGGAAGAAUGAAACGACAAAGCCAUAGAGAAAGAUAAGACGCUAUCUCUAAUACCUCUUCUUCUUCCAUAGACAAAGAUACUAGAAAAUUGCUCGUCGAUCCCUAAGAGUAAUGUCUCUCGACUUGUUUGCCACCACGAGCCUCUGUAUUUUUUUCAAUGCUCUUUGAUGAUGUCUCGUGAAUGGAUUUAAAUUCAUAGCAUUUUUCUAAUUUUUGUGUUGUCAAGGAUUAUGAACAUAAUCAUUCUCGUGAAACCAAAAAUCAAUCCAAUUUUCGUAAGUAAUCCAAUCAGAUUCAUUCGCAUGGGCGAUCAAUGUGAAAACAUUAAAGAGGUAUAGACAAGACUUGGGAAGAUGAUCCGUCAACUCUGAGAAGCUUGAGACUACUUCCUCAUAGUAAUGACCCAUGAUCGAAAGCCUACUUAUCUCGCGGAUGUCCAAAAGAGAAAUGUCGAUUUUACCAUUGGCGGUCACAAAGAUGUUAGUAUCUAGACACCAAACAUCACAGAGAGCUCUAUAGAUAGAGUUUGGGUGAUGGUAAUCUUAUGUAGCAGAACCGACUGCAAAAGAUAACUCAUGAAGAUUCCUCUUGAGUAGAAAUUUUUUGACCCAUAAAGAUCACUCUCAAAAUUUUAGAAGAAAAGAAAUCUCUCAUCGACUCGCUAGUGCGCUUCCCUAUCGUAUUUCUUUAUUAUCAAUUCUCUCAUAAAUUGCAGCUUUUUGGAUGCACUCCAUGUUCUAGGAAUGAUGAGACAGAAGACACAGAAAGAAAAAAUGAUUGCUAGAGUGGUUGGACUUGCCAGUAUCCAAACUCUUGUAACAUUAACUACUAGUGGGCAUGUGCAACUCUGAUAAUAGCUCCAGAAGGUCGGGAGAAGAAAUUGUCGUUGGCUUAUGGAUGCUAAAUUUAAGUUCACCUCGUACACUAGUCUAGGCAUGGUACCUCACAUCAGUAUCUUUGAAAUGCAGAUAACUUUUGCCCUGAUUUUUAAGCUCAACAAUUUCGUAUAGAUUAGAGUACAUUUUAUCAUUAGAACUUGUUCCCGCCAUGCCUGCAAAAAAAAAAAAAUGUCAGCUAAAAAAAGGAGGGGUAGUAAAUCUCUUAAAUUGGUUUAUCGUCUAAAAUCACGAGUCUCCCAAAUAUGUAAACGCCCUCUACAAAAAGUGUCUUGGAUGGUCGAAUAAGCUAGUCCUUGGUCUUUAACAUAAAGUGCCUUGGACGGUCGAAAGAAUAGAUCCUUGGUCCUUAACAUAAAACUCCUUGGACGAUUGAAAAAGUCAGCCCUUGGUCUUUAACACAAAAUGCCUUACACAGUCGAAGGAGCCAAUACUUCGCCCCAAACACAAAGUGCUUCACCCUCAACACAAAAUGCCUUGGACGGUAGAAGGAGCAGGUCCUUGUUCCUCAACACAAAAUGCCUUGGACGGUCAAAGGAGCAGGUCCUUAGUUCCAAACAUGAAGUGCCUUGGACGAUUGAAGGAAUAGGUUAUUGAUCCUUAACACAAAGUGACUUGGACGGUCGAAUGAUCUAACCCUUGGUCCUUAACACAAAAUGCUCCGGACAGUUAAAGGAAUCAGUCAUUGGUUCUAAACACAGUGUCCUGGACGGUCAAAAGAACAGGUCCUUGGUCCUUAACACAAAGUGCCUUGAACGGUUGAAGGAACAGGUCCCUGGUUAUCAAUACAAAAUGUUUUGAACAGUAAAAGGAGCAGGUCCUUGGUCCCUCAACAAAAAGUGCAUUCGAUGCUCAAUAUGUACGAAAGUUUACAAUUUUGAGUUUGUUCAUAAGCAUAUAUUUCUUGAACUCAUAAAAUAAUUGUAAUAGGAAAAUUUAACCUCUACACAAAGAAAAUUUGAAAAUCUCAAAAUCCUUGAUUCGCUUUAAAAAGUUGAAUCCUUAAAAAAAAAAAAAAUUUGAACAAUGUUAGUUUCAAUUUUGGUAAACAACCAUACUUCAAAAAAAUAAUAAUAAAAAUAAUCAACCCAAAAAUAAAAGGUAAAAAUAAAAAGACAAUUCAUAUCAUAAUAAAAAUGAAGAAGAAGAAGAAAAGAAACCAAAAAAACGAAAAAUGGUUUCUGCUAAAACGACAGAGACUAAUUCAUCAAUUCCAACAAUUGGAAUUUUGUAGGAAUUGGUUCCAGAAACCAAGAUAUAUUAAAAAAUAAAAAAUAAAUAAAAAAAGUAGAAAGAAAAUAAAAGAAAAUAUACGUUAAAAAAAAAGAAAAAAAAGUUUCACAUGGUUCCGCUGCCAAAUAAAAAUAAAUAAAUAAAUAUAUUAAAAUAAUGGUUUCUGCCAUUGGCGGAAACCUUGGUCUUCGUCGGCAUAAUUUUCACACUUUCGAUUUUUGCCGACGACGGGAACAAUGUAUAAUUAAUAUAUAUUUAUUAUAAAGAGGUGCAUGAGAGAGAGAGAGAGAGAGAGAGAGAGAGAGAGAGGAGGGGGGGGGGGGGUUUAAAAGAGAAAAGGAGAGAGAGGGAGAGAGAGAGAGAGGGGGGGGGGGGGGGGGUUUAAGAAGAAAAGAAAAAAAGAAAGAAGAGAAAGUUAAUUAACUUUUGUCCAAAUUUUAUAAUUUGGUCAUAUAAAUAAAUAAGAAUCGGACUUCACUCAAUCCCAACUUAUCAUGAAAUAUAAAAAGUCUGUUCAAAUCAAAUUUGUUAUGGAUCGUAUAAAAUAAAUAAAUAAAUAAUUGAAAUAUGACGAAAAAAAUAAUCUUAUUCUCAAAUUUGAAAGAUAAGAAUUUUAUUAGAUUCAUUCUCAAAUUUUUCAUCUGUAUUAAUUUAAUAAUGUGAAGUUUGAGUUCAAGUGAAAUCCAAAAUUGAAAAAAAAAAAUUUGAAAAUCAAGAUAUAUUAUUAUUAUUUCAUAAUAAAUAAAUAAAUCUUGAGUGGACAUUUGUUGACAUAAAAUAAAUAAAUAAAAUGAAUUGGGUCGAUUUAAAUUAUUAGCUCAAUUAAGUUAAAGUCCAUAAAUCUAAAAGCCCAUCUUACUCUUUAAAUAAAUAAAUAAAUAAUCAUAAUUACUCAUUUAUUCCUUUUUAAUUAAAUAUAAUUAAGUGAUUACCAAAAUUUAUUUCUCCUAUAAAUAGAACCAAUGAUCUAUAAGACAAGUGUACAAGAAGAGAAAGCAAAGACAAAGGAGAAAACAGAGAAGACAAUCACGAAGUAUUGAAGGAAUUCCAAAGCCGGAGUAAGAAAAGAAAUCCUCUCAAACCUAAACUCGAUGAACCAUAAGAAAAUCAAAAUCUUUUUCAAAUUAAACAGGGUCAUGCCAAAUCCAAAAAGAUCAAAGUCUUUUUCAAAUCAAAUCAAAUUCAAACUCAAGUUCAAGCCCUAAAUUCAAGUACCGAGCAAGUUAAGUCUCAACAAAUCAAAUUUUCAACAAAUUCUCGAAGGUCAGGAUUCAAACCAUGUGGCCCCUCGUUGUCAAAUAUUCAGAUCAUUAAUCAGAGAAUUUUUACAAUUUUACAAUUACAAGAAGGUCAAAAUCACUUGUAUUUUAUCAAAAUACAAUUUGUAAUAAUUUUUGUAUUUUAAUACACAAAAUUCGUCAUACAGGUUCACUAGUGAUUGCAAUUUAUCAAUUGAUAAUAAUCUGCAGUAUGUAGUAAACUUGCAUUAUGAAAAUUUGACGGUCUUUACGUAUACAGUCAUUCUCAUGCAGCAUUCUUUUGCACCCAAUUUGACCUUGGAAGACUGUAAAGGUUUCCAGAAUCACAAAACUAUGUUAUCCAAUUAGUAGAUUACUGUUAGCAGCCCAGAAACAUACUUGAUUUCAGCCAUAAACCCUAUCAUGUAAAGCAUGAACCACUCUGAUCCUUUCAGUGUCCUUCUGGUAUCAAACCAGAUAGAAAUCCACCAAAAAUAUAACUCAUUCUGUUCUGAUAGUCCAGUUUAAAAUCACCAAUCUUAAUGGUCAAAAAUCCAUGGGAUCCAGUGGAAAUCAUUCUAGAUGCUGUAUGAAAUGAUUGAUGAAGUUAAGCUAGUUCCUCAAAUUGGAAAGCAAAAAUCCAUUACAAAGAUCAGACCCCCAAGAAACCGGUUAGCCCAUUUUGUAAUGCAAAUUCAUCGGACAAAACAUAGCAACAAUUCCUUCCUUUAAACCAUGGUCAUAUCUAAAUUGAGGCUGAUUCACGUAACAUUUUCAUCAAUUUACCCCGAACUUAAUGUGCCCAGCUAUUUCAGUCAAAACCAAAAGAACUGAAGCAACAUAUAUACUACUAUUUAGCAAAACAAAAAUUAAAUUUUUUUAAAUCGAAAAGGCAGCAUUUCUUUUGAGAAAAUAUUAAUGGUAUACUAAAAACAAUCUUAAUCCUCGCACUCUCAAUUCAAUUUGAUUGAUAAAAAAAUGAAUAUUUUUCUUCCUUCUUUUUCCCUUCCUAAAUCAACAAGUACAACUUUCUCAGAUUAAGUUCUUUCAACCCUCGACUCACGGAUCACGAUUAAGAACAAUUACUAGAAUCAAGUCAAACCCUAAACACCAUCAGUCAAACCCUAAAUCUGAAAAACAAAUAGAAACAUGAAGUGCGAAAAUGAAACUACAGCCGAGAAGUGAAUUAGAAUCGAUAAAAAUAGGGCUCAAUCGUGUUACCUUUCUAUGUGGGUGAAUUCACUGAAUGGCGGAUGGACGGGAGGAUCUUAAGCUCUAGUUUUUGGGGGAAGGAGAGAAUUUUGGGUGAAUUUCUAUUGGGCCAACCUUUUUU